rnacentral:snRNA from 1 species
GUGGUUGCUUGGGCAUCACAUACACUAAAAAUGGAACAAUAGAGAAAAGGUUAGUAUGGCCCCUGCACAAGGAUGACACACAGAUUCAUGAAGCAGUCCUAAUUAAA